AGUCUCUGGUUUCUCUUCAAGUCGCAUAAAUCUUUCACCUUAUACUAAAGAUUUCCAUGGAUAGGAGCAGUUAUAUAAUUUGUGGGUUUUUUGGUUCCAAGAUGGCAAGGAA
rfam:Alligator sinensis unplaced genomic scaffold scaffold505_1, whole genome shotgun sequence